GAUGAACGCUGGCGGCGUGUCUAAGGCAUGCAAGUCGAACGAACUGUUUUGAGUAGCAAUACCCAAAACAGUGAGUGGCAGACGGGAGCAUAACACAUUGGUAACCUACCCCGGAGUUUGGCAUAACCCGUCGAAAGAUGGGCUAAUUCCGAAUACGUUCCAUAAUCUUAUGAUUGUGGAAGAAAGGAUUUAUUCACUCUGGGAGGGGCCUAUGGCUCAUCAGCUUGUUGGUAAGGUAAAAGCUUACCAAGGCUACGACGAGUAGCGGGUGUGGGAGCACGACCCGCCUCACAGGGACUGAGACACUGCCCUGACUUCUACGGAAGGCUGCAGUCAAGAAUCUUCCCCAAUGGGCGAAAGCCUGAGGGAGCGACGCCGCGUGCAGGAUGAAGUCCUUCGGGAUGUAAACUGCUUUUGUGUAGGAAUACGUACGAAGG
rnacentral:rRNA from 1 species